GAUCAUGGCUCAGGAUGAACGCUAGCUGCAGGCUUAACACAUGCAAGUCGAGGGGCAGCAUUUCAGUUUGCUUGCAAACUGGAGAUGGCGACCGGCGCACGGGUGAGUAACACGUAUCCAACCUGCCGAUAACUCGGGGAUAGCCUUUCGAAAGAAAGAUUAAUACCCGAUGGUAUAAUUAGACCGCAUGGUCUUGUUAUUAAAGAAUUUCGGUUAUCGAGUGGGGAUGCGUUCCAUUAGGCG
rnacentral:rRNA from 1 species